UACGUAGGUGACAAGCGUUGUCCGGAUUUACUGGGCGUAAAGAGCGCGCAGGCGGUCGAUCAAGUCGAGUGUGAAAGCCCCCGGCUCAACUGGGGAGGGUCAUUCGAUACUGAUCGACUCGAAGGCAGGAGAGGGUAGUGGAAUUCCCGGUGUAGCGGUGAAAUGCGUAGAUAUCAAGAGGAACACCUGCGGCGAAGGCGGGUUGCUGGGCCGACACUGACGCUGACAGUGCGAAAGCUAGGGGAGCGAACGGG
rnacentral:rRNA from 1 species